rnacentral:rRNA from 1 species
CAGCACCUCAAGUGGUCAGGAUGAUUAUUGGGCCUAAAGCAUCCGUAGCCGGCUCUGUAAGUUUUCGGUUAAAUCUGUACGCUUAACGUACAGGCUGCCGGGAAUACUGCAGAGCUAGGGAGUGGGAGAGGUAGACGGUACUCGGUAGGAAGGGGUAAAAUCCUUUGAUCUAUUGAUGACCACCUGUGGCGAAGGCGGUCUACCAGAACACGUCCGACGGUGAGGGAUGAAAGCUGGGGGAGCAAACCGGAUUAGAUACCCGAGUAGACC